UACGGAGGGUGCAAGCGUUAUCCGGAUUCACUGGGUUUAAAGGUGCGUAGGUGGGUUGGUAAGUCAGUGGUGAAAUCCCCGAGCUUAACUUGGGAACUGCCAUUGAUACUAUCAGUCAUUGAAUACCGUGGAGGUCAGCGGAAUAUGUCAUGUAGCGGUGAAAUGACUUAGAUAUGACAUAGAACACCAAUUGACGAAGGCAGCUGGGCUAAC
rnacentral:rRNA from 1 species